rnacentral:rRNA from 1 species
CAAGUCGAACGGAAUUCUUCGGGAUUUAGUGGCGGACGGGUGAGUAACGCGUGAGAAUCUGCCCUUAGGUUGGGGACAACAGUUGGAAGCGACUGCUAAUACCCAAUGUGCCGAGAGGUGAAAGGUUAACUGCCUGGGGAUGAGCUCGCGUCUGAUUAGCUAGUUGGAGUGGUAACGGCACACCAAGGCGACGAUCAGUAGCUGGUCUGAGAGGAUGAUCAGCCACACUGGGACUGAGACACGGCCCAGACUCCUACGGGAGGCAGCAGUGGGGAAUUUUCCGCAAUGGGCGAAAGCCUGACGGAGCAAGACCGCGUGAGGGAGGAAGGCCUAUUGGUUGUAAACCUCUUUUGAUAGGGAAGAACACAAUGACGGUACCUAUCGAAUCAGCAUCGGCUAACUCCGUGCCAGCAGCCGCGGUAAUACGGAGGAUGCAAGCGUUAUCCGGAUUUAUUGGGCGUAAAGCGUCCGUAGGUGGCAAACCAAGUCAGUUGUUAAAGCGUAGAGCUUAACUCUAUAAGGGCAAUUGAAACUGGUUAGCUAGAGUGCGAUAGGGGCAAGGGGAAUUCCCAGUGUAGCGGUGAAAUGCGUAGAUAUUGGGAAGAACAUCGGUGGCGAAGGCGCCUUGCUGGGUCUGCACUGACACUGAGGGACGAAAGCUAGGGGAGCGAAAGGGAUUAGAUACCCCUGUAGUCCUAGCCGUAAACGAUGGAUACUAGGCGUUGUCCGUAUCGACCCGAGCCGUGCCGAAGC